GAUGAAGAACGUAGCGAAAUGCGAUAAGUAAUGUGAAUUGCAGAAUUCAGUGAAUCAUCGAAUCUUUGAACGCACAUUGCUCCCGCCAGUAUUCUGGCGGGCAUGCCUGUUCGAGCGUCAUUUCAACCAUCAAGCCCUGCUUGCGUUGGGGUCCUGCGGCUGCCCGCAGGCCCUGAAAACCAGUGGCGGGCUCGCUAGUCACACCGAGCGCAGUAAUACAUCUCGCUUUGGGCGUGCGGCGGGUUCUUGCCGUUAAACACCCCCUUUUUACCAAGGUUGACCUCGGAUCAGGUAGGAAUACCCGCUGAACUUAAGCAUAUCAAUAAGCGGAGGA
rnacentral:misc_RNA from 1 species